GAUGAACGCUGGCGGCGUGCCUAAUACAUGCAAGUCGAGCGAACGGACGAGAAGCUUGCUUCUCUGAUGUUAGCGGCGGACGGGUGAGUAACACGUGGAUAACCUACCUAUAAGACUGGGAUAACUUCGGGAAACCGGAGCUAAUACCGGAUAAUAUUUUGAACCGCAUGGUUCAAAAGUGAAAGACGGUCUUGCUGUCACUUAUAGAUGGAUCCGCGCUGCAUUAGCUAGUUGGUAAGGUAACGGCUUACCAAGGCAACGAUGCAUAGCCGACCUGAGAGGGUGAUCGGCCACACUGGAACUGAGACACGGACCAGACGCCUACGGGAGGCAGCAGUAGGGAAUCUUCCGCAAUGGGCGAAAGCCUGACGGAACAACGCCGCGUGAGUGAUGAAGGUCUUCGGAUCGUAAAACUCUGUUAUUAGGGAAGAACAUAUGUGUAAGUAACUGUGCACAUCUUGACGGUACCUAAUCAGAAAGCCACGGCUAACUACGUG
rnacentral:rRNA from 1 species